UACAGAGGGUGCGAGCGUUGUUCGGAAUUAUUGGGCGUAAAGCGCUUGUAGGCGGCACGUCAAGUCGCGUGUGAAAUCCCCAGGCUUAACCUGGGAAGUGCGCGCGAAACUGACGAGCUUGAGUGCCGGAGAGGGUCGCGGAAUUCCCGGUGUAGAGGUGAAAUUCGUAGAUAUUCGGAAGAACACCAGUGGCGAAGGCGACUUACUGGACACAUAUUGACGCUGAGGUGCGAAAGCGUGGGGAGCAAACAGG
rnacentral:rRNA from 1 species